CGGGCUGGCUGACUGCACAGUACAGGAGGGUGGGCGUGGCACCCAAGAGACAAUACAGAAUAAGUAGCACACAGGAAUGCGCACGCUUGUAAGAAUCUGGUGGCACCAGGAGCUCUUGGAGAAUUAAGAGAACAGGGAGGAAGCGGAUCAGAGGAACAGAGGUGUCCCAAGAAGGGGGGCGAGGCCAGCAUUGAGUCACUCAAGUCAUGGACUAAAAAGUGCCCUGACAUGUGGUAAUUAUGGGAUGGUUGACAAAUUUAUUGAGAGCAAUUUCAGUGCUGUAGUGGGAGGCAACUCCAGAUUGCAGUGGGCCGAGAUGUGGGAGGUGAGGAAGAAACUGCCAGUGUAUAUGAUAGAGAAGAGAGACAGAAGGGGCGAGGGACGACAGAAUGAGAAAGAUCCAAUGUGGCAAGUAAGUAAUCUAAGAAAUUAAUCUGUGUGAAUGUGCUCCAUCAGUGUCCUAGACUUUCAAAAUCCGUAUCCUUUGAAUAAAGGCCAAAAAUAAAAACAAAAACAACCCCCAUGACCUCACAGAUAAUCUGGGAACAGCAAUCUGUACAUAUGUGGUUAUCUAGGUGUUGAGGGGAUAGGGUGUCAGGGUAGGGGCAGAGUUCGGAGAUCACCGUAACACUCUGAAGAGCAAAAGAACAUUUUCCGAAUGUCCCAGUGUCCUAGAGUAAGCCAUCAGCGGUUCUGGCAGUGGGGAGAUGCAGCCCCACAGAACCACGGAAGGAAGUUUAUGACUCCUUGGAACUACAGAGGAGACACGUGCCCCGAAGCUACCUGCGGCUCUAGACCAGGUGGGCACGCCUUUCCUGUAAAGGGUCAGAGAGCAGGAAUCUCAGGCUUGAGGGUUGGCAGUCUCUGCCCUGAGUACUCCGUCAUGGCAGGAAGGCAGCUGCAGGCAAAGCAGAAUGUGCGAGCACAGCUCAGUCCCUGCUUCCUCCUGCCUCCCUCCCAUGUCUCCGGCAGCUCCCGCUCCUUCUCCUUGGUGGACCUUCUUGCAGCUGCUCUUUAAAUACUGGUGUUCCCUGAGGUUGUGAGUCCAACCCCUUUAUGAACUAACAUUCAGAUUUCACAUAUCUAUAUGUCUGGAAACAUUCUUCUUUGGCUUUUUUUCUCCCAACCAUUUAAAUCUGCAAAACCAUUCUUAGCUCUUAAACCAUAUGAAAACAGGCAGUGGGCUGGAUUUUGCUUACAGGACCAUACUUUGCUGAAAGCUCUUCUCGGUGUGGUCACAAUUGGGAUGGAAACCCAAAAUAAAUCCACUGUUUACGAGCUUCAUUCUCCUUUAUUCAUGGCAACAGCAAUCGGUUAGUGAACAGUGCGCCUUGGUGACAGGUUACCUGGGAGAUCUGGGAAAGAACAGAAGUGGGCUGAGCGGGAGACACAGGAACAGGUACAGCAGACACCGGAAAUACUCUGGGUAUGAAGAGGGAGGCAAAGGGGUCAGAGCGCUCCAGAAAGCAGGGUGUGGACAGGACAAAAAUGAGAAAUGUAAUCACCCAUCACCAAGACUACGGCUCGGCCAGGACUUCCCCACAGCCUCCGUCAAAGGUGCCUCAGAAGUAGUCUUUAAUCACUUUGAGGAAAUAAUAGUGGGCCAGACCAGGGCAGCCAGUUUUCGCUGUCCAUUUUGUCAUUAAAUAUAAAUGCCUGGGAGAGGGGCAUGAGAAAAAUGUAUUCUACACAUUGAAGCUCGCCAAAAACGUGAAAUUAGGAAAAAGGGUAGGACAAAGGGGUGCUGAGGAGGGUAUGAAAAUGAUCAAAAUAUACUGUGUGCAUGUAUGAAUUGGUCAAAAUGAAAUAUGUUUCAUUAACAUAGUGUGGUGAAUUAACUAAUAGUCAACUUGUAACGCCCAGCUGAAUUGAAUAGCCUGGUUCUGGGCGUGGAAGAUCGACCUGAGGCUUGUGGCCAAGGGCAUAAAAAGAGAACUGGAGAGGGAGAUCA
rnacentral:lncRNA from 1 species